GAUCAUGGCUCAGGACGAACGCUGGCGGCGUGCUUAACACAUGCAAGUCGAACGAGAAUCACUGGAAGGAGUUUUCGGACAACGGAAGGUGAGGACAGUGGCGGACGGGUGAGUAACGCGUGAGGAACCUGCCUUUCAGAGGGGGACGAACAGUUGGAAACGAACUGCUAAUACCGCAUGACACAUAGAGAUCGCAUGGUUUUUUAUUUGUUCAAAGAAUUUAUUCGCUGAAAGAAUGGCCGUCCGCGU
rnacentral:rRNA from 1 species